UCCUUUUUCUCCCUUCACAAAAUGACCCGGCACUUUCCCUUUUCUCCUCAAAGCGAUCCAAAACCAGACGAUUCCAAAGAGCAACGUUAAUGACAUCUUCAGGGCGCCUCCUAUGCAGCGACGAGUGAUCAACGAAAAAAACCCCUACAUGUGAUUCAUCACCGCCACGCGACGUCAAAUAAAGGGAGGGUGACUUCCAAUGUCUCCUUCUUUAGGGAGGUACAAUUUGGGGCAGCCUUUUAACGAUUUCAGCUUGCUUUUCCUGUGAUAAUCUUCUGCAAACUCGUCCUUUCCCUCGUGGCUAAGAGCCACGUAGCACUCAAGGACGAGCUGAUGAAUCCCAGCCAUCCGUCCCCCUUCCUAUUUUGGGAAUGAUUUUUAAUUUUGCAGAAAAGGGUGUUUAGCAAAAAUAGUGAAAGAUUUUUUAAUUAAAACUAGUUGAAGAUUCCGAGUUUUGCGUCUCCCUUUCCCCCCAGUCUCAACCUAAUUCUCCUCCUAUAUAACAUAGCUUCCUGUUCAUCAAAAGGGGCAGAAUUUUUUUUUCAAGGAGUGAGGCAAGGAAAACCAAAGACUAAUCUUCAUCCUACUAAAACAAUAGCUUAAAAUAGAUAUAAUACAUACCUUUGGAGAGAGCAUAAAAGAGUAUCAAUUCUAUCCUUGCACUUUUCCUCUAAUUCUCUCUACAUAAACUCGCCUGGAGUAAAGGUUCCAUCCAUCGUUUUGUUUGUGUGUCGUGCUUGUGUUAGUGUAUGUGUUCGUGUGGUCAAAAGAAGCUCAUCCCUGGUCGUACUAUCCCUGAAUCGCUGCAUUUAGAAAGAAUUUACUCCAUUUCUUGCACUACCUUGUUGAGCCAUAAAUGCUCAAAUUAUCCUCUCCGAGUCGGCCAGCCCCUCUAAAUGGUGUACAGGUUGAGAACAAUAAAAGAAAAUGCUGGAAAUUAAGCUUUCCAACACCAAAAAGGCAAAUACAUUCGUUAUACCAACUGUAUACACUGGUAUACAGUCAGAAUAUACAUUAUAUGGGUACAGAAAAUGUGAAUACUCAGGUCAAAAGUACAGUGGAUAACGUUUCAAAAAAUGCAAGCCUUGAAAGGUCCAAAUGGGUCGGAUAUGCCAUGUAUACAGCAGUAUACACAAAUUGUAUACAUAUCUUUUUAAGGCAAACAAGCCCAAUGUUUAAGUGCAGGUUCAAAGGAAAAAUGGCCUAGGACCCACAUAGACAUAGGAUAGGGAAGAGGUUGGGCCCAUCAGAUUUGUGGAUUAGGGCUGAUUAGCCGAAAUUAAAUUUUCUAUCCCCUCUCCCUCUCUUUAUUUAUUCAUGUUUGACUAAUAUUUUGGUUUCAAUUUAAUUAAUUCUAAACUAUAGCCAUUUUAUUUAUAUUUAUAUACAAAUACUCAAAAUUUAUUUAUACAUA